UUCUGCAACUCACCACUUAACGGGUCUCAGCCUGGCCGAUAAGUUAAUUUGGCUUAACAUAGGGCUGAGACUUGAGGCCCUCCCGAGGCUUCCACUCUUACAAAGUGCAACGAGGAGCGAUCGUGCUAUAGAGUAUCGAGGACGACGGCGCCGCCGCUAAGACGGACUCGAGGGCGCGACUUGCAUUCCCGGACCUAUUCGAGCGCUAGAUCCUCAUUGGAAAGGAGACUAAGCAUGAGGAACGAUUAAAUAAACCAGGUUUUCGUUAAUAA